UACAGAGGUCUCAAGCGUUGUUCGGAUUUAUUGGGCGUAAAGAGCGUGUAGGCGGCUGGGUAGGUCCGCUGUGAAAACUCGAGGCUUAACCUCGAGACGUCGGUGGAAACCAUCCAGCUAGAGUCCGGAAGAGGAGAGUGGAAUUCCUGGUGUAGCGGUGAAAUGCGCAGAUAUCAGGAAGAACACCCGUGGCGAAAGCGGCUCUCUGGGACGGUACUGACGCUGAGACGCGAAAGCGUGGGGAGCGAACAGG
rnacentral:rRNA from 1 species